AUUCAAUAUAUAUUCAAUACAUAUUCAAUUUAUCCAAUAUAUAUUUUGGAUAUAUUGAAUAUAUAUAUAUACUGGAUAUAUUCAAUACCCAGCCAAUUUAGCCUGCCAUAUUCAUCACCCCUCUCCUAUUUCUUGUUUGCAAAGUCUGAGAAACGUAUUGACGGCUGAGUGUUGACAAAAUUUUCUUCAUUAUGAAGUCUUCGGCUUUGAACUUCAGGUGACCUUUCACCAAUUAUCACGAGAGUUUAGGUAAACAUCUACGAGAGUUUAGAUGAUAAAUCAAAGCGCGUGUUGAAGAUGGAUCCCAAAAUAUAUUCCGAAAUUUUAGAUUAUAAAUGCAAAUGCAUUUAUCCUGAUGUCUUGUCCAAGCAGGAAAAUGAGCUGUGUAGUAUGUUGUAUGUCCAGGUGAGAGUCCUGCUCUGGAAGAAUUGAGUGUUGAAUGUACACCAUUCAGAGAUCAAAUUUUAGAUUUUUAGAUUUAUUUAUUUUUAAUUACGGUCAGAAACCGUAUGUUGGCAUGCAAACCACCUGACUGCAAUGCACUCAGGUGGUGUAAGCAUCAAAUUAAACACAAAGCCAAACAAAAGGUAAUUAUCUACAAUUUCACAGACAAUGAACUGUAUUAUGUGCGUCGCAAGGCGACAUCUACUGCCAGUACAACCAAAGUUGUCUGUGGAAAAGAGGAGGCAGAUGCAAUUUUCGCCGAGUUCCACAGCAGCAGCAUCGCAGCAAAAGACCAGAGAUGCCAUCUCUGCCAGAUUUUAUUGGCCUGGCAUGUCUUCAGAGAUUGACUCAUGGGUGGCACAGUGUGUUCCAUGCCAGGCCAACACAAUGACCAUAAAGCGUGAGGUGGAGUAUAUACCCAUCACAGUUAAAGAGCCAUUUGAGCUGGUCGGAAUGGACCUCAUUGGGAAGCUGACAGUCACCGACAGUGGGAACCAGUACAUUUGCGGACAUGUACAUGGUGGACUACCUCACUAAGUGGCCACAAGCUUAUGCCCUUCCAUCAAAUACAGCAAAAGAAGUCACUG
ensembl:lncRNA